rnacentral:rRNA from 1 species
AACGAACGCUGGCGGCAUGCCUAACACAUGCAAGUCGAACGAGACCUUCGGGCCUAGUGGCGCACGGGUGCGUAACGCGUGGGAACCUGCCCUUAGGUUCGGAAUAACUCCCCGAAAGGGGUGCUAAUACCGGUUAAUGUCUUCGCACCAAAGAUGUAUCGCCUUUGGAUGGGCCCGCGUUGGAUUAGCUAGUUGGUAGGGUAAAAGCCUACCAAGGCGACGAUCCAUAGCUGGUCUGAGAGGAUGAUCAGCCACACUGGGACUGAGACACGGCCCAGACUCCUACGGGAGGCAGCAGUGGAGAAUAUUGGACAAUGGGCGAAAGCCUGAUCCAGCAAUGCCGCGUGAGUGAUGAAGGCCUUAGGGUUGUAAAGCUCUUUUACCCGGGAUGAUAAUGACAGUACCGGGAGAAUAAGCUCCGGCUAACUCCGUG